rnacentral:lncRNA from 1 species
GAAGUCAAUAAUAUAUUAAUGUCCAAAUGCUACCCCACCCCCAAAACCCACCUUCUCUCUCACACCCAGUAACCCUAGAGACGAUCUUACCGUCUCCGUCGUCCACCGCCGUCCGCCGCCUACUGGAAUUCGCCCACGGCGGCGGCGGAUCUCCGAUGACCAUCAAAAUAACACCAUUGCUUCCCUUCUAUCUCCUCCUUCCAAAUUCACUAUCGUCUCCCCUCAAAACCUAGCCAAACUUCUUGAAUCUUACUCAAAAGUUCUGACUCCUCCGCCGUGUCUGGCGGCGCUACCGUCCAACCACCCUCAAAUUCACGCCAAAUAAUCACCACAUCUUCUUCAUCUUAUAGCUACCACCACUUACUCCAAAACCCUCGCCCAUUCGUGUAAAUUCCAAAUAUGAAAUUCCAAAAAGGAAAAAACCUAAUUUGCUCCUCUUUUUGAUUUCCAAUAGUUUUCAAGGAUUGAUUCGAGCCAAAAGUUAUGCCAAUCGAUUAUUCUCAUUAAGAACAAUCAGUUAGCGUCAUUUUUGGCCCAUUUCCAAAGCCCACUAGAUUCCGGCUAAGGCAACACCAACCAACCAAGCUGUCAUUGAUUCUCGUUUGUCAUUGGCAUUAAUUUGGCAUUGAAGACUCUCUACUUGGGUAUUUAUGCUCCUCAUUGGUUUUAUUUGCUCCAUUUUUGUUUUGUUUUCUUAAUAAUUGAACUCAUUUAGCUAAUAAUUAAGGUUAGGUUUAAUUGCAAAGUUUGGAAAUACUGCAUGUUUCAUUUUUUUUUUUGAAGUCUAUCUUUUUUGUUUGGUCCUGCUUGAUGAAUUUCAUGUUCAUAUUCGUCAUUUAAAUUACUUGGUUUAAUCUAGUUCGAUCAAUGAGUUAAUUUAGUUCAAUUUUGCAUUAAUUGGUAUUCUAGUCUAGGUUCCAAAUUUUAGGAGAAUUGUCCAGUUGCUUCUUUGUUAUUUUUGUGGUCUCAAUCACUAUGCAUUUGGGCUUUGAAUCAUUUUUUAGCCCAGGUUUUUGUAAUCAUUGAGUCGGUUAAUCCCUGACCCAUUUGAGGCUUAGGAAAACUAAGGGGCAAAUUGGGUAGUCUAGGUUAUGGAAUCUUUGCUAACUGUUUUCAGAAACUUCUAGUAGGGGUUUCCUGUAUAAUUUAGGCUAUAACUUGGCAAGCCAUAAAGUCAGGGAUUAUAGGGAAAAAAUUAAAUUAUGAGGAUUGCCGUAAUGUUCAGCCUAUAAAAGGCAUGAAAACUUAAAAAAAAGACUAGAGAGCUAAGUGAGAAAAUAAUCAGAAAAAUACAAAACAACAACAACCAAUUCUAGCGUUCCAUUGAGUUUCUUACUAUAAUUUUCUGAAAAUUUUGAAUUAUACGUGCGUGAUGAUGGUUUAGAUUGGGUUUUGAAAAUUGAUUUUGAGCUAAGACUGUGUUGAAAUCCCUUUUGAUUGGAAUCUGGGUUUAGAAAUUGGAUCUAAAUCUGUUGGAACUUGGCUUGAAGUUUGGAUUGGUUUUCAGCUUUAUAAACAUCGUUAUACUGCUGUCAAUACUGCCUACUGCCGUUGAUACUCACUUUCCUGCUUUUCUUUGCUUCUCAGGUAUUCAUCUCACAUUGCAAUGUAUGAAAAUGGAUAAAUAUGAAGAUUGGUUCAUUUGAAUAGAGAUUUGUACCAACGCAGUUGCUUAUUUAGUUUUUCUGCACUUGCGAAACCUGUUUAGCUUAAUUUGAUUCUCUUACACUUCUUUCUGUUUGUUCUGAGUCCUGUUUGUUCUGAGUAUGGAUCACUAUAAUAAUAUUAGUUUGAUUGUUCAUUGUGGGGUGUCAAAUAUACGUGAAAGGUCUUGUUAAAUGUUUGGUAUUGUUUGAAAGUUGCAUCCGUCCAUAAGAUUGGAAAAUUAGUCUAUUUGUUCGUAUUUACUGGCAGAAGCAUGUUUUACUUUAAGUUACCAUUUGAUUAGUAUAAGAUCCAUGUUAAAGGGGAAAUGUGAUUAUAUAGUUAAGUGCUUCAGUGGUUUUUCAGUUUUAACAUGU